rnacentral:rRNA from 1 species
AACUGAAGAGUUUGAUCAUGGCUCAGAUUGAACGCUGGCGGCAGGCCUAACACAUGCAAGUCGAGCGCGAAAGCACUUCGGUGUGAGUAAAGCGGCGGACGGGUGAGUAACGCGUAGGAAUCUACCUAGUAGUGGGGGACAACUCGGGGAAACUCGAGCUAAUACCGCAUACGCCCUACGGGGGAAAGCGGGGGACCUUCGGGCCUCGUGCUAUUAGAUGAGCCUGCGUUGGAUUAGCUAGUUGGUGGGGUAAAGGCCUACCAAGGCGACGAUCCAUAGCU